UUAAGCGACUAAGCGUACACGGUGGAUGCCCUGGCAGUCAGAGGCGAUGAAGGACGUGCUAAUCUGCGAUAAGCGUCGGUGAGGUGAUAUGAACCGUUAUAACCGGCGAUUUCCGAAUGGGGAAACCCAGUGUGUUUCGACACACUAUCAUUAACUGAAUCCAUAGGUUAAUGAGGCGAACCGGGGGAACUGAAACAUCUAAGUACCCCGAGGAAAAGAAAUCAACCGAGAUUCCCCCAGUAGCGGCGAGCGAACGGGGAGGAGCCCAGAGCCUGAAUCAGUGUGUGUGUUAGUGGAAGCGUCUGGAAAGGCGCGCGAUACAGGGUGACAGCCCCGUACACAAAAAUGCACAUAUUGUGAGCUCGAUGAGUAGGGCGGGACACGUGGUAUCCUGUCUGAAUAUGGGGGGACCAUCCUCCAAGGCUAAAUACUCCUGACUGACCGAUAGUGAACCAGUACCGUGAGGGAAAGGCGAAAAGAACCCCGGCGAGGGGAGUGAAAAAGAACCUGAAACCGUGUACGUACAAGCAGUGGGAGCCUCUUAAUGGGGUGACUGCGUACCUUUUGUAUAAUGGGUCAGCGACUUAUAUUCUGUAGCAAGGUUAACCGAAUAGGGGAGUCGAAGGGAAACCGAGUCUUAACUGGGCGUUAAGUUGCAGGGUAUAGACCCGAAACCCGGUGAUCUAGCCAUGGGCAGGUUGAAGGUUGGGUAACACUAACUGGAGGACCGAACCGACUAAUGUUGAAAAAUUAGCGGAUGACUUGUGGCUGGGGGUGAAAGGCCAAUCAAACCGGGAGAUAGCUGGUUCUCCCCGAAAGCUAUUUAGGUAGCGCCUCGUGAAUUCAUCUCCGGGGGUAGAGCACUGUUUCGGCAAGGGGGUCAUCCCGACUUACCAACCCGAUGCAAACUGCGAAUACCGGAGAAUGUUAUCACGGGAGACACACGGCGGGUGCUAACGUCCGUCGUGAAGAGGGAAACAACCCAGACCGCCAGCUAAGGUCCCAAAGUCAUGGUUAAGUGGGAAACGAUGUGGGAAGGCCCAGACAGCCAGGAUGUUGGCUUAGAAGCAGCCAUCAUUUAAAGAAAGCGUAAUAGCUCACUGGUCGAGUCGGCCUGCGCGGAAGAUGUAACGGGGCUAAACCAUGCACCGAAGCUGCGGCAGCGACGCUUAUGCGUUGUUGGGUAGGGGAGCGUUCUGUAAGCCUGUGAAGGUGGCCUGUGAGGGUUGCUGGAGGUAUCAGAAGUGCGAAUGCUGACAUAAGUAACGAUAAAGCGGGUGAAAAGCCCGCUCGCCGGAAGACCAAGGGUUCCUGUCCAACGUUAAUCGGGGCAGGGUGAGUCGACCCCUAAGGCGAGGCCGAAAGGCGUAGUCGAUGGGAAACAGGUUAAUAUUCCUGUACUUGGUGUUACUGCGAAGGGGGGACGGAGAAGGCUAUGUUGGCCGGGCGACGGUUGUCCCGGUUUAAGCGUGUAGGCUGGUUUUCCAGGCAAAUCCGGAAAACCAAGGCUGAGGCGUGAUGACGAGGCACUACGGUGCUGAAGCGACAAAUGCCCUGCUUCCAGGAAAAGCCUCUAAGCAUCAGGUAACAUCAAAUCGUACCCCAAACCGACACAGGUGGUCAGGUAGAGAAUACCAAGGCGCUUGAGAGAACUCGGGUGAAGGAACUAGGCAAAAUGGUGCCGUAACUUCGGGAGAAGGCACGCUGAUAUGUAGGUGAAGCGACUUGCUCGUGGAGCUGAAAUCAGUCGAAGAUACCAGCUGGCUGCAACUGUUUAUUAAAAACACAGCACUGUGCAAACACGAAAGUGGACGUAUACGGUGUGACGCCUGCCCGGUGCCGGAAGGUUAAUUGAUGGGGUUAGCGGUAACGCGAAGCUCUUGAUCGAAGCCCCGGUAAACGGCGGCCGUAACUAUAACGGUCCUAAGGUAGCGAAAUUCCUUGUCGGGUAAGUUCCGACCUGCACGAAUGGCGUAAUGAUGGCCAGGCUGUCUCCACCCGAGACUCAGUGAAAUUGAACUCGCUGUGAAGAUGCAGUGUACCCGCGGCAAGACGGAAAGACCCCGUGAACCUUUACUAUAGCUUGACACUGAACAUUGAGCCUUGAUGUGUAGGAUAGGUGGGAGGCUUUGAAGUGUGGACGCCAGUCUGCAUGGAGCCGACCUUGAAAUACCACCCUUUAAUGUUUGAUGUUCUAACGUUGGCCCGUAAUCCGGGUUGCGGACAGUGUCUGGUGGGUAGUUUGACUGGGGCGGUCUCCUCCUAAAGAGUAACGGAGGAGCACGAAGGUUGGCUAAUCCUGGUCGGACAUCAGGAGGUUAGUGCAAUGGCAUAAGCCAGCUUGACUGCGAGCGUGACGGCGCGAGCAGGUGCGAAAGCAGGUCAUAGUGAUCCGGUGGUUCUGAAUGGAAGGGCCAUCGCUCAACGGAUAAAAGGUACUCCGGGGAUAACAGGCUGAUACCGCCCAAGAGUUCAUAUCGACGGCGGUGUUUGGCACCUCGAUGUCGGCUCAUCACAUCCUGGGGCUGAAGUAGGUCCCAAGGGUAUGGCUGUUCGCCAUUUAAAGUGGUACGCGAGCUGGGUUUAGAACGUCGUGAGACAGUUCGGUCCCUAUCUGCCGUGGGCGCUGGAGAACUGAGGGGGGCUGCUCCUAGUACGAGAGGACCGGAGUGGACGCAUCACUGGUGUUCGGGUUGUCAUGCCAAUGGCACUGCCCGGUAGCUAAAUGCGGAAGAGAUAAGUGCUGAAAGCAUCUAAGCACGAAACUUGCCCCGAGAUGAGUUCUCCCUGAGACUUAGAGUCUCCUGAAGGAACGUUGAAGACGACGACGUUGAUAGGCCGGGUGUGUAAGCGCAGCGAUGCGUUGAGCUAACCGGUACUAAUGAACCGUGAGGCUUAACCUU
rnacentral:rRNA from 1 species